rfam:Asian citrus Psyllid, Diaphorina citri - Florida Strain, whole genome shotgun sequence.
GCCUAGUUAGCUUAGUUGGUAGUGCGUCUGCCUUGUAAGCGCUAGGCCGCGGGUUCGAUUCCCGCCCGGGGUG